UUGUCUCUACUUCAAGCUUGUGUAUCUCAAGUUUUUCAUGAAGAACCUCAUACGUGCUUUUGGGCAAGUGGUUGCCACACGUUGCUCCAUCUGUGGUAGAAAGCGUUCUACCCAACGAAAAUUUGGGAAAAGGUUAGAGCCGGUCUAAGAUACGAGAAUUAACAUUGGAGUCAAUGGGGAAAUCUUUAGUGAUCUGUGUCCAGAUACACUAGUAGAGAACUAAUCCAUGUGUCUAAUAAUAUAGCCACGUCUUAUAAUAUCCGAAUAUACAAAGAAGUUAAAUUUGUUUCAAAGUAUAUUUUAAAGCAUAAACCAACCAGAAGGAAGGAAUCUUCUAAGAGAAAUCUAGCCAAUAGCCUACCUCAUUCAGAUCAGCCCUACUCAUGUGAAGAAGGGCGCUACUAUAAAAUGUAUGGACAGAUUAUUGCAUACAUUAUAAUCGUACAUAAAGGACCAGCACCAGCUCCCCCCCCCCCAAUUGAUGUAUGAUUUGAAAGCCUAUGGCAGUGAUGGCUUCCAGCUAGAUCAGUUAUUUACGACAGUGUUAUGUUCUGAAGAAGGAUCCAACAAAAACAAAAUGGAACUUAAAACCCACACCAAUUGGAGGGAUUUCCGUCAAUACUUGAAAGGAAUAGAGGAUGUCAUAAAGAUAUUAUUGGUUUAUAUUACUGCCUUCGAAGAAAUUCCACCCCUAGGAUUUGAGCCAAAUUUGACGUUACAAUUCCACCACCCUGAAGGGGGGAAGAUGCUCUGCCAUUCGCCAACACAUGUAGGAACACUCUAACUAUUCCAGUGACAGAAGACAUUGAUAUCCUUAAAGACCGAAUGAUGACAGCAAUAGAAUUUGGCACUUUCUUUACAAGUGCAUAAACAAUUUUUCUUUUAAA